rnacentral:rRNA from 1 species
UACGUAGGUGGCAAGCGUUUGUCCGGAAUUAUUGGGCGUAAAGCGCGCGCAGGCGGUCCUUUAAGUCUGAUGUGAAAGCCCACGGCUCAACCGUGGAGGGUCAUUGGAAACUGGGGGACUUGAGUGCAGAAGAGGAGAGUGGAAUUCCACGUGUAGCGGUGAAUGCGUAGAGGUGUGGAGGAACACCAGUGGCGAAGGCGACUCUCUGGUCUGUAACUGACGCUGAGGCGCGAAAGCGUGGGGAGCAAACAGG